rnacentral:lncRNA from 1 species
UGGACUUGGAGCGGGAAAGAACUGGGUUCAAAUUCUGCCUCGGACCCGCAUCACCUGUGUGUCCAUUGGCACGUCCCUUCUCCUCCCCGCGAGGGCAUUGGCCUCGGUGACCCUCAGGUCCCGCCAGCGGGAGCUCAGCGGCCCCAGGGGUCCUUGAGCCUCCGAGCACACGACUGGAGCUGAGCCCACAGCCCUCCCUCAGCGCUGCCAUGUCUCCCAGCACCCGGGGCCGAGCCGCCACGGGGCUAGGCAGGUCCAUCCUUGUCGGUCCUUGGAGCACGUGGGAGGAACGGGAUGGAUAUGAAGGGAGGGCCUUGGGAGGAGCUCCGGAGCUGGAGGAGAGCGAGCCUAAAGCAGGGACCCCAGACAGCAUCUGGGGGGCACCACAGUGCUCAGAGCGCUGGACUUGGAAUCAGGAAGACCUGAGUUCAAAUCCGACCUCAGACAUUUACUGACUUGUGACCCCGGGCAUGUCACUUAACCUCUGUCUGCCUCAGUUUGCUGAUCUGUAAAAUGGGUGUUAAUAAUGACAUCUACCAGCCAGGGAUGUUUUGAGGAUCGAAUGAAAUAAUAAUUGUGCCUGGAAGGUAGGAGGUUAUGUGUAAAUGCCUGGUUCCCUCCUUCCUUCCACGCCUGCGCUAGAGACGGGGCCAGGUGCUGGGGAUGAAAGGACAGAAAGGAGACAGUCUCUAUCUGCGAGGAAUGCACGUUCUUUUGGGGGGCGCCAGAUCCUGGCAGCCCCAGGAAUACUUGGAACCGUGAACUCAGCCUGGAGAAAAACAAGUCUUCCCUCUCAGGAGAGAGUGGAGCAGAUGCAGCACAUCAGAUACCUGUGCCCCUGGCAGCCCAGAGGGGUCCUGAGGAGUCCCAGCCUUCAUAAAAAGAAGUCCCAUUUCCCCAACAGUCAGCACAGCACCCUGCAAAAGCUGGUGUUCAAGGCUCCUUCCCUCUAUGCCCCCUCCACCCCGCUGAUGCCAGGCCCAAAACAAACAAGCUGGGUCUGCCCCUUGAGUCCCUCCUCCCUGUCCUACCACAGGCCCUUUCAGGGGGCUGGGGUUCCCCUUAUGUUCUUCAAACAGUGGAACUUGGGCCUUCCAUCCUCUCCCUUCUUACCACUAGGACAUCUUUUUGUUCUGCUGAUACAUUUUUCUGGAGACAUCCUUUAUGCCACUUCUCUCAUAUCCCUCAUUACUUGACAUGUGUUACAGAUAAGCAUUCCCACCAUGCUGUCCCCUUUGGAGGGUCCUCCACUUCAGUUCUGUACAGGUUCAUCAGGACUUGCUGCCCUCCCUGCAAGGGACAUUAAAUGCAUAAUGACUAUACUUUCUUGUCCACACACUGUUUCUCAAAAAUGGAAUGUAAGCUCGUUGAAGGCAGGGACUAGUAAUUUGUUAGUUGCUUUUUAUGCGGGGGUCUUUGUAUGUAUAGUACCUGAAACAGUGCCUGGCAUACAGUGAGUGCUUAAUAAAUUGCUG